CACCGGGUAGCCAGGAGCAGGCCGGAGCGAGGAGGCUCCCGGGGUGACACCGGGGCACCCUGAACAUCAUAAAGGACUCAGACCUUGGCAUUCCCGACGUCAUAUAGGACUCACACGGAUGCGGAAACCGAGACGGGCUGGAUGGAAAACUCUUUCCAGACAGGCUCCGGGGCCCUCAACUGGUCUCCGACCUUCCCCUGCAACCUGCAACACCUGCCAUUUUCCCAUCUUAGGCUCCAGAAGCAGAAUCAAGUGGGAUGUCUUGGAAGAAAAACAAACAAAAGGCCCACUAGGUGGAGUGAAAUGGAUCAGGAGCAAUUAUGUUCAAUGGCACCUUUAAGUUUUCUCAAAAGGAGGAGGAUUAAGAAUCAGCCACCUUAGUACAUACUUAAAGUUUU
rnacentral:lncRNA from 1 species